GCUAGCGUAGCUUAAUUAAAGUACGGCACUGAAGCCGCCGAGAUGGGCCUUAAAAGCCCCGCAAGCA
rnacentral:tRNA from 1 species